UGUUCAUUUUGAAGGAAAGAUGCAUGAGCAGCCUGGAGACAGAGCUGAGUCAGAAAGCAGCAAACAAUGCUGAUGGAUGUAAAAACAGAAAUUGCUGGGGAUAUUUCUGAUUUCCAGCACCUGCUGCUUUUCUUUUAAUUUUUCAACACUGUCAGAGAAACUGGCCAAGGGAAAACAAGGUCGAUGCUGUCUAAGGCAGUCUGGAACAAUCCUAAUCCGUCACAUUUGCUUCUCACACUUUUACAAAGUGCGAGCACAAUUAUGCACAAAUCGAGAAGGAAGCAUCUGGAAUAGCAUUUGGAAUCAAGAAAUUCCAACAGUUUUCACCAGGUACAAAGAAACAUACAGUGGAAUGCGUCAUUUGCAUCAAAUCAAAUCAGCAAAGAUUCUGCUGGGCAGCCCGCAAAUGUUGUCACACUUCCAGACCAACAGAGCAUGCCCACAACUAAGCCUAACCCAUCGUCUUUGAAA